CUGGGCAAGGCACAGCAACGCCUUGGACGGCUGGGACAAGAGUGGCUGUUUCCGAGGAGAGGACGUUUGUUGGCUCCUCUUUUGUAUCUCAUAUCCAGUGUUUUUCUUCACAGGUUUUACACAGUAGGGACCAAGAAGCCCUCAGGGACACCGCUGGGAAAAGACUGCUCCAGGGAAGACCUGCGGGGAUCAUGGGAUCUAUUCCAGAGAAAACUAACCAACAGUGAUCAUCUUCGACUAAAACUGCUCGUGGAUAUAAUGGGAAGUGUUACAUCAUUCCUUAAUUGAGCAGAGUUAACUGGAUCAAAGUAUUUAUGGGAGAGAGAGGGAAAGCUAUACCGAAUUACAGUAAUUUUUAAUUUCUACAAAUAUGCUCUUUACUGACCGUAUCUGCCCAUGAGCAAAGGAAACCUGAAGGAACCAAGGGCCUGGCUGGACGGAGUUGUCAUGUGUCUGCCUGUCUACACUUGCUGUGCAGAACAUCCGCUCACCUGUACAGCAGGCACAGACAGGCAGUCACAUGACAACCCAGCCUGAAUGACAACCAGCCAUUGAAAGAAAGCAGCCCUCACACCAUAGCAUCUACACCAAGAGCUACAACCAAAAUGAGGGGUUCGGGGGGAAGGCCUGGGUUUUUCAUCUGUUGGUUUAAUACUUAACUCGUAUGUAUUAUUAUUAUUAUUAUUAUUAUUAUUAUUAUUCUCUUUUGAUUCAAAUAUUGAAACCCACCAUAAGUAAAGUGAGUAGUGCCUAUGAAAUAUAA